rnacentral:rRNA from 1 species
CACGUAGUUAGCCGUGGCUUAUUCCUGAGGUACCGUCACUUUCUUCGUCCCUCAGAAAAGAAGUUUACAACCCGAAAGCCUUCUCCCUUCACGCGGCGUUGCUGGGUCAGGCUUGCGCCCAUUGCCCAAUAUUCCCCACUGCUGCCUCCCGUAGGAGUCUGGGCCGUGUCUCAGUCCCAAUGUGGCCGGCCAACCUCUCAGUCCGGCUACUGAUCGUCGCCUUGGUGGGCCUUUACCCCGCCAACAAGCUAAUCAGACGCGAGCUCAUCUCAGAGCGAUAAAUCUUUGGCGUCCAGAGAGAUGCCUCCCAGACGCAUCAUGCGGUAUUAGCGGCUGUUUCCAACCGUUAUUCCCCACUCCAAGGCAGAUUGCUCACGCGUUACUCACCCGUCCGCCACUUUCCUCCAGAUCCGUUGUCCGAAAACUCCUUCACUGGAUUCUCGUUCGACUUGCAUGUGUUAAGCACGCCGCCAGCGUUCAUCCUGAGCCAGGAUCAAACU